GACGAACGCUGGCGGCGUGCCUAAUACAUGCAAGUAGAACGCACAGUUUAUACCGUAGCUUGCUACACCAUAGACUGUGAGUUGCGAACGGGUGAGUAACGCGUAGGUAACCUGCCUGGUAGCGGGGGAUAACUAUUGGAAACGAUAGCUAAUACCGCAUAAUAUUAAUUAUUGCAUGAUAAUUGAUUGAAAGAUGCAACUGCAUCACUACCAGAUGGACCUGCGUUGUAUUAGCUAGUAGGUGAGGUAACGGCUCACCUAGGCGACGAUACGUAGCCGACCUGAGAGGGUGAUCGGCCACACUGGGACUGAGACACGGCCCAGACUCCUACGGGAGGCAGCAGUAGGGAAUCUUCGGCAAUGGACGAAAGUCUGACCGAGCAACGCCGCGUGAGUGAAGAAGGUUUUCGGAUCGUAAAGCUCUGUUGUAAGAAAAGAACGGGUGUGAGAGUGGAAAGUUCACACUGUGACGGUAUCUUACCAGAAAGGGACGGCUAACUACGUG
rnacentral:rRNA from 1 species